rnacentral:rRNA from 1 species
AACGAACGCUGGCGGCAUGCCUAACACAUGCAAGUCGAACGAGACCUUCGGGUCUAGUGGCGCACGGGUGCGUAACGCGUGGGAAUCUGCCCUUGGGUUCGGAAUAACAGUUGGAAACGACUGCUAAUACCGGAUGAUGACGUAAGUCCAAAGAUUUAUCGCCCAAGGAUGAGCCCGCGUAGGAUUAGCUAGUUGGUGAGGUAAAGGCUCACCAAGGCGACGAUCCUUAGCUGGCCUGAGAGGAUGAUCAGCCACACUGGGACUGAGACACGGCCCAGACUCCUACGGGAGGCAGCAGUGGGGAAUAUUGGACAAUGGGCGAAAGGCUGAUCCAGCAAUGCCGCGUGAGUGAUGAAGGCAUUAGGGUUGUAAAGCGCUUUUACCCGGGAUGAUAAUGACAGUACCGGGAGAAUAAGCUACGGCUAACUCCGUG